rnacentral:snoRNA from 1 species
UCUGCUCAAUGAUUAAGCCAUGUUAAUCCAUGGCAAUAUGCGCUAUUCUGAAUCAUAUUAAGAUGUCAUAAACAUUAUGAGAGCAGG